UUGCCUUAAACUAAUGAGUAAGGAAAACAAAGCGAACGGUGAGAGCCGGUCGCAGCGCUAAAUCGUAAAACAUUGAAAAUGGCGCAAGAAUUUAUGGAAGGGUAAAUAGGCUGGUGCGAGUGUUGACGCUGCUUACUUUUGCAGAACUCUCUUGUGCGGGCCUCCCCA
rnacentral:snRNA from 1 species